UUGUUAGAGGAUUCAUUAGUUAAGGCUAAUGAGUGCUUGCCUACACACUCUCAUCUCCAUAACUCACACACCAGCACUUGUCUCAGAGCAUUACAGUGACAUUACAUCAGCCAGCAGAGCCAACUGUGAUUUAUUGGACUGCAAAACAAAAACAGUGUAAAACGAGGAAGGCUAUAGGGAGGUGAAAAACUCUGAUCUCAUGUGUUUCCUUGGGAGAGGAUAGAGUCAUUCUGCCCAAAUCAGGGCCCCUGUGUACUCCUUGCUGUAUCUUUGUAUUCAAAAGUACCAGGCAAAGCAGGCUGGAUUUUAUGGCUGGAUGUUAACAUUCCCUCUCAAUUUCCAUGAGCGCUGAAGGAGGUGGCAAAACUCUUCAAACUCAAGUGCAAUGCUUUGAGAAGAGCUGGAAUAAGUGGAGUAAAACUUCAAGCAAAAGAAAAGGUCAUUCUGUGGAAACAAAUAUCAAAAAUAGGUAGAGGGCAUCCUGUCUGAAGAGAUUUGGCCUCUCAGGAGCAAUGCAGCCCAGCUUCUGAAAGACUGAAACCUGGGGCAGUCACUAACAAGCUCCAUUGAUACUGAAAUACAGCAGAGAUCUAACUGCAAGGUUCACUUGAGCAGAGGAGAGUCAUAACAAGCAAAGGAUUUAGGACAGAUGCACCCUUCAACACCAACAGAAAUUAAUCUACAGUAAUUCUCCACGUGCCUUGGCUCCAGACUCAGCUUUCACCAGCUUUCCAAGCAGUGCCUGCCCCCAGCCCAUGUCUGAGCCAGGGCUUGGCUGCUGCUGCUGCAGUGUCUGACUCAUCCUGCAGCAGAAACUCCAGUGACUGUUCCAUUCUCCUCAGGGGGUUUUAAUCUUUUGAUACUAAACAAACAUUGUCACUGUUCCUUUUGCCUUAAACCCAAUAGUGUGGCAUUACAGCUAAGUAGCUCACGUUUCCUGGUGCUGAACAAUAAUAUUUUUUAUAUCAAGAAGUGCCCUUUGUAAUACUGCAUGCAGUCAGUGCAGCAUUCUGAAUAUUUUCUGAGUUCUUGGAAAACUCUUGUGUUUAAGAUGUAUAGAAGGGUUUUUUUGAUUUAAGAAAGUGCAGUGACAGAUUCUGCUGGAUCAGAUCUCUCUUAUGUACCUUCUGUUACUGCUCAAGUAAGGCAGAUGAAUGAAAGAUGGGGACUCUUCUUCUUGCCAGCUAUUCUAGAAUUUCUUGAGUCCAUGUUCUUUUAGGGAAAAGUUGGAUGAAUUUUCAAUACUAGAAUUUCUGCAGUAUUGUGCUUGUGGGUGCAGACAAUUCUUUUUCAUACCAAGCAGAAAGACAAAUGAAAAUAGCACUUUUGCUGUUCUUCUGUCUGUAAAAGUGAUUUUCCUGUUGGUUCUAUUCUUCAGCUAUUGAGAUGGAAAACUAAAUUCUGGAAUUUUGCAACCUAAAUCCAUUGACAUUAGUAGCAAAAUGUGCAGUCAAAUUAGCAGAGGGAAGAGUUCCCCUGAAGAGUAUGAGAGGGUCCAACUUUGUACCAGUUUGGUUCUCAUUCUGUGGAGUACAAAGUAGAAAAUAAUAUCUAGGGAUAGUUAGGAGCAUAUCAAUAUAAACAUCAGGAAAAUGAGUCUAGGCAAGAGGCAGAUCUGCCAGGACCAUCUCCAACCAUUCUAAAGUUUAUCUGUGAUGCAAUAAUUGACCUGGCUCUGUUUCAUGAGCUCUAGCUCAAAACCACCUUGGUACUUGAGGGCUGAGAAAUGGAAAUUAUGAUAAAUAUGUGUCCAGAGAAGGGCCGAAAAUUACAAGACAGUGAAUUUGAUAUCUAUACCUGAAAAAUCAUUCAGAAGUACAAGAAAAAUUGAAAUAGAUAAACCGUAACAUAAAUGAAUCCUCAUUCCUUGUUUGUUUUGAAGGAGACAAAAAGUCUGUGAUAAAGAAGAUCCACUUAAUAUAAUAUAUCUGGCUUUCCAAAGGGCUCUCAAAAUCAGCCAUGCCAAAAGAGAAAGAUAAAAGAGCAGAAAACAGAGAGUAGGAGCAGAAGUUUAAGAUUCACUAAAGAAAUACAAAAAACCCUUUGAGAUGGGCAACUGGUCAUUUAGAUGGCAGAUAACAAUUCUACAAAAUAAAUGUAAAAUGAUAUAGAUGAGGGAAAGAGAAAUCAUCAUUUCACAUAUACCAUGGUGUGUUAUAAAUUGUGGCAGACUGCAUCUUGCACAGUAAUACAUAGACCAUGAGAACAUCAGCUCAGAGAAUAGAAAAAUAAAGAGAAAUGUUAGGAAUUAUUAAGAACAGGGGAGGAAAAAAAGAAAACUUUCUCUAGCUGAGGUAGUUUCUGAUUUCAUGUUUGGUCUGUCUUAGACAUCUCUUUUCUCGUUGCUUGAGACAGCAUACCAUGACUUUGGUUUUACCCAGCCGUUUUAAAGCUUUUACUGACCUGCCUUAGUAUAUUUAGCAAUUUAUUCACUAAAAAGCAUAUUUUAUAAAUAACAGAACUAAGCCUAAUUAUCUUGUUUUCAUUUUAAGUAUGUAUGUGUAUAUAUAUAUAUAUAUAUACACACACACACGUAUAUAUGUUUCACUUUUCUAAUCCUAAAUUUGCAAUGUUGUCUUUAUUCCAUUUUAUAUCCUGUAUUCAUAGCUCCUUACAAGCUCCUAAGCUGUUCCUCAAGACCAUGACUCUUACUAGGAAGAUGAAGGAACAUUAAAUCAACCAAACUGAACAUAAUUUGACUGGCAGCUUGCCUCAAAUACUAUUUUUCUCCUUGUCCACCCUUUUGAUUUUACAACAGAAGUUUCUCUGAAGCAGCACUUACAUUAUGAUGCCUUCCCUGACACAGGUUAAUUACUAUUUGUUUUAAUUAUUCUUUACUCAGCUUCAGAAGAGCUGUCAAAAUACACCUUCCUGAUUAUAUAUUUUACAAUAGGACUGGAAUGAAGACUGGACCAUUGAAGCAGUACUAAAAUUAACCAAACCAGUAUUUUUAGGUUAAGCUAGUUUUUCUCAUCAGCUGCUUUGGAAGAAAUUGGCACAGCAUAAUUGCAUUGCACACAUCUUUUGCAAAUAUGCCAAGAAAAGCUUAAUGAGACAAAUAAUUAAAAUAAAGUUUGAUAGGUGAAACAUGCAAGCAUAUAACAAUUCAUAAAAAAUAAUUUCUUUCUUUUAGAUGCAAAGCAUACACAAAAUGGAGCUCCUUUGAGUACUGUCCUCCUUCUGAUUUUAAUAUGCUAAGCUAAAAAUUAAACAAAUUGAAAAAUUGGUACAAAAUUAUGUCCUAGUCUGGAAAAUUUCUUCAUCAUUGUGCUAUAAGUUGCCGAAGAACAUUAUCUGUAAAAUAAAUCAGGGUCUAUCUUGGAUCUUACCAAGUUAUUCUCUGUCUGCCCCUGGCUUUUGAUAUAUAUUAUUUUCUUUUGGCUUAUGCUGCUCUCAGUGAGGGACAGCUUUUCUCUAACUUGCCUCUUGCCCUCUGCUCUUGAAUGAAUCAGUUUUACCUUGUCAAAGCUCACAUGCCUCUAGGAGUGCACAGUUUCAUCUGAAAUGGGUGCAGACCCAACAGGAAGCUCCAUCACUAUUUCAGGCUAAUCUAGAUCUGAUGGCGUGGUCUUUCAAAUUAGGCAUAGAAAUAAAUUGUUUUAUUACUUGUUUGGAUCCCUCAGAAUCAAACUCAAGGCUACUCUUUGGAUCUCCUUUCUCACAAUCAAAACCAUCCAUCAUGUAAAUUAAACUAGUCUCAGCAUUGCCAAGGAAAGCAGAGCUCCCCUCAGAGUUUUUGGGUACCCACCUUUUGCUGGUGAGGUGAAUGCACGGAGCUGCUGUGUCUGCAGGGUGCUGGGGUCUCCCAGUGCACAGCUCCCAGUGCCUUCUGCCUUGGGGCAAUGGGUGGUUUUGCACAAAUAAUCCUAUAGUUACCAAAAAGUCUUUGUGAUAUGUCUGAAAACUGCUCACAGGGGUCUAACAUGAAACACAAUUCUGGCUUAAGAAUGCAAGGCAAAAUGAUAUCAAAAUAAAUGCUCAACAUGGCAAAUC